rnacentral:rRNA from 1 species
CCUACGGGGGGCAGCAGUGGGGAAUAUUGGACAAUGGGCGAAAGCCUGAUCCAGCCAUGCCGCGUGUGUGAAGAAGGCCUUCGGGUUGUAAAGCACUUUCAGUGGGGAAGAAAGCCUUGGGGCUAAUACCCUCGAGGAAGGACUUCACCCACAGAAGAAGCACCGGCUAACUCCGUGCCAGCAGCCGCGGUAAUACGGAGGGUGCGAGCGUUAAUCGGAAUUACUGGGCGUAAAGCGCGCGUAGGCGGUCUGAUAAGCCGGUUGUGUAAGCCCCGGGCUCAACCUGGGAACGGCAUCCGGAACUGUCAGGCUAGAGUGCAGGAGAGGAAGGUAGAAUUCCCGGUGUAGCGGUGAAAUGCGUAGAGAUCGGGAGGAAUACCAGUGGCGAAGGCGGCCUUCUGGACUGACACUGACGCUGAGGUGCGAAAGCGUGGGUAGCAAACAGGAUUAGAUACCCGGGUAGUC